rnacentral:rRNA from 1 species
GAAGGGUGGAGCGGUACGUCCGUCGCUCGGGUGAUGCUUAGCCGUAUCCCUCCAGCUUGUCGAUGUCCAAUGAUGAAGAUGUCUGGCCUCGUCGGCUCAGACAAAUGGGUAGCCUUCGCCUCGUCGGUGCCCGACCUCAUGGUGUCCGCCUCGUCGGUCGGACUGGGUGUCUUGCCUUCGCCUCAUUGGUGCCCGACAAGAUAUGGAUAGUUUCAUCGGAGAAAGACAUGUCGGUGAAGUGGUUUCACCUCGUCGGAGCUUGGUCGAUGUUGAGGAAGAGUGUUGAUAUAG